UACAGAGGGUGCGAGCGUUAAUCGGAAUUACUGGGCGUAAAGCGCGCGUAGGCGGCUUUGCAAGUCGGGUGUGAAAUCCCCAGGCUUAACCUGGGAACUGCAUUCGAGACUGCAUUGCUAGAGUAUGGGAGAGGGAAGUGGAAUUUCCGGUGUAGCGGUGAAAUGCGUAGAGAUGUGGAGGAACACCGAUGGCGAAGGCAGCCCCCUGGGCUGACACUGACGCUCAGGCACGAAAGCGUGGGGAGCAAACAGG
rnacentral:rRNA from 1 species